AAGAAAGGCAGUAGCGGCCUACGACAUCGGUGUUUCUUUGUGACAGUGUGUUUACUAUGCCUACGACGGCCGUCAUUCGUGGCCAACGAGAAAACAUCUUCCAUUCGGCCUGACCAGUGAUGAAGUGGACUUUUUUUUUCGGCGGAAUCCAUCGUCAACAUCGUCCAUCCACUACGUAAACGAAAUGGCGUGCCCAGAAUAUACAUCGUGACAGCGCUCCGCCUUCAAACCGAGGGCCUUUUGCAAGGCGCAUGGACGGCUCAUAUAAAAGUUAGUCAGCAUGAAGCAAUUGCAUGGGAACCGGCCGAUUGUCUUGGGCCUACACAUUGCUCAAAAGACAGUGAAGGCGUCUGAGCCGACAGGUAGAAAACAAGCAGAUGACUACAGCGAUCAAUGAAGAAAUGGCUUCAUCUAUGAUGGCUUGCCUUAGGACAUUGGAAUGGAGCUACACAAAGGCAUCACCAGCCUCGCCUGUGCCCUGGAACAUUGGUUUGAAUAAGACUGUUCUUCAGUGUAGAACGACCACAAGACUUGUCACCACAUACAAGGCGUAGUGCAAGCUCUAAAUAUUGUACAGGUGGCUAGAAUAAAUGACCCUCCAUGCAGUCA